rnacentral:rRNA from 1 species
UACGUAGGGGGCUAGCGUUGUCCGGAAUCAUUGGGCGUAAAGAGCGUGUAGGCGGUCCGGUAAGUCCGCUGUGAAAGUCGGGGGCUCAACCCUCGAAUGCCGGUGGAUACUGUCGGGCUAGAGUUCGGAAGAGGCAAGUGGAAUUCCUGGUGUAGCGGUGAAAUGCGCAGAUAUCAGGAGGAACACCUAUGGCGAAGGCAGCUUGCUGGGACGACACUGACGCUGAGACGCGAAAGCGUGGGGAGCAAACAGG